rnacentral:rRNA from 1 species
GCCAACGGCCAUACCACGUUGAACACACCAGUUCUCGUCCGAUCACUGAAGUUAAGCAAACGUCGGCCCGGUUAGUACUUGGAUGGGUGACGCCUGGGAACCCCGGGUGCUGUUGGUA